AUGAAAAAAAAGUUUGACUUGGUUGUUUCCUACUCUAGUCUUUUGAUGAUUUUUCUUAUCUUAGAAGCUAAUCAAAUUAAGUGUAUAAUAUUGUAUGAAACUUUCUAUAACACAAUCAUUGCAUUUUUUCCGACUUUUCAAAAAAUAACUUCUUCACAGACGAAUUGGUAUGUUUUCCUUUUCUUCACUGCUCAGCUAGUUGCUGUUAAGUGUUUUGUCAUUAUUAAUUUUACUUUCUUAGGACCAAUAGAAAGAUAUCUUGCAACUUGUGCAUCAAUGCAUUUAUUAUUAUCAAGUUAUUGA